rnacentral:lncRNA from 1 species
GCCAAUCCUAGAAGUGCCCCAAGUUUAAUGUGCGAGGGGAGGAUCCUGAGCUUCCAGGGGCCCUGCCUGGGAGUGACUGGCAAGAAGGCUUCCUUAUGAUGGAAACCUGGUCUGGGUUGCUCACCACUGAACCUCCUCACACCUGGAGCCGUGCCUAGCACAAGGAGCUUACGUAUCCUCAGAAGAGAAGAAACAGAGACGAUUGCUGUCUUCAUUUUAGAGACAAAGAACCCGAGGCGUAGAGAGCCAGGAAAUGGAGGGUUCUCCAUGGGGAUGUGCUUGAGGGAGAAUGAGCAGUUUAAGAGAAAAGAAUUCCUCCAGAGUGGGUUGUGGAGAGCACUGGAGAAGGUCUGGGCUGGAGCUAGAGAUUUACCUUGGCUAAAGAUAAGAGUCUGUGGUGUAUAUACACAAUGGAAUACCAUUCAGCCUUGAAAAAGA